rnacentral:rRNA from 1 species
GCUUCGGUGCGCCCGCCUCACGGCCGCCGGGGGGCUUCUGCCCCCGGGUCCGCGCGCACCGGAGACACCAUUGAACUCUGUCUGAAGAUUGCAGUCUGAGCAUAAACUAAAUAAGUUAAAACUUUCAACAACGGAUCUCUUGGUUCCGGCAUCGAUGAAGAACGCAGCGAAAUGCGAUAACUAAUGUGAAUUGCAGAAUUCAGUGAAUCAUCGAGUCUUUGAACGCACAUUGCGCCCCCUGGUAUUCCGGGGGGCAUGCCUGUCCGAGCGUCAUUGCUGCCCUCAAGCACGGCUUGUGUGUUGGGCUCCGUCCCCCCGGGGACGGGUCCGAAAGGCAGCGGCGGCACCGAGUCCGGUCCUCGAGCGUAUGGGGCUUUGUCACCCGCUCUGUAGGCCCGGCCGGCGCCAGCCGACAACCAAUCAUCCUUUUUCAGGUUGACCUCGGAUCAGGUAGGGAUACCCGCUGAACUUAAGCAUAUCAA